AAGGAACUCAGCCAAGAAGAGAGGCAGAGAAGUGCUGGUUGUGCUUAGCAGCCGAUGAUUUUGAGACCUGCGAGGCCACAUCCCCAGGGUUUUUCAUCUCUUCUGUUUCCAUUUGUAUCAAAUGGUAACCCACUGAAGACUACCUUGUGCUAGAAUGGAACUGCCCUUGCCAUCUCUCUUUAACAGAAGCACAUCCUGAGAACCUACCUGAGAGCUCAAGGUAAGAGUCUGAACACUGUCACCACAUACAGACAGCUAACUAUCUCCUUACCGUACAACCAAAGCAAGAAACAAACACAUGCGACGCCGUCAAGGUAGAAGACACCACUGUUUACUACCCUAGUCCCAAAUAUCUGUGUACAUUAGCACAGCCUUACCUAGCUCUUCUGUCAUUGUCUUUUUAAGUAAACAUUACACAUUUGAAUU